AGCUCGGGGAAGGGGCCACAUCGAUUCCUGCCACCCGCCUGAGCCAGAGCUGUCUGCACGCUCAGAAACCAUCGGCUUCCCAUUAGGCAGAUCAGUAGCUUCCACUGGUGUCCAAUUUGUGUUUCCAGAAAUUCAUCUCCCAGCCACCUUUUUAAUUAACCCCCCUCCACCACACCUGGGGCACAGAUAGAUCACCCGCCCUGGGCCGCCUCUGCAGACCACAGACCACGAGGCUCCGCGAGCCACAGGGGAGCUGCAGGUGUGUUUAAAGCUGACCAGCUGCUUCCCGGUCACCGCAGGAGCUGACCCUGCUGGCUGGAUGCCACCCACUCUGUCCCCUGCUCCUCGCUGAACCCCCGUGGAAGGGGCUGGGUCCUCCCUCACAGAAAGAAAGCAGGUGAUGAGAGGCCAAGGCAGUGUCCUGAGGUCCCCCAGCUGGCAAGAGCUAGGACAAGUGCACCUUUGAGGCAGGCAAUUGGCAAAGCGCUCCCCAGAUGCCGCAGCACAAUGGGGUCUGGCUGGCAGCUGUCCUCGAGGCAGGCAUCACUAGUGUAUGCAUUUUAUAGGUGGGAAGACUGAGGCCCCGAGAGGUUAAGUGACUUCCCCAAGGUCACACGGCGACUCAGCGGUAGAGCUGCGAUCCGAACCUGACUCUGGAACUGCACUCCACGCUCCCUUACCUAUUCGCGGUGGCCUCAGCUCUGAAGGGCAGGACCUGGGUCCUGUGCCCCAUGGAACCUCCACCAUAUAUACCAUCAUGUAAACGUGUUUGUUGAGUGAAGAAAUGAGUGAAUUAUG